rnacentral:miRNA from 1 species
AAACAGGCUUCAGUUAGAAGAAGAUGCCAUCUAGGACUUUCAUGGCUAGAGAGAAGUCAAUGCCUGGCUUCAACGCUUCAAAGGACAGGCGGACUCUCUUUUGAGAGGCUAAUGCAGCUGGUGGCUUU